CGGACGGGUGAGUAACACGUGGAUAACCUACCUAUAAGACUGGGAUAACUUCGGGAAACCGGAGCUAAUACCGGAUAAUAUUUUGAACCGCAUGGUUCAAAAGUGAAAGACGGUCUUGCUGUCACUUAUAGAUGGAUCCGCGCUGCAUUAGCUAGUUGGUAAGGUAACGGCUUACCAAGGCAACGAUGCAUAGCCGACCUGAGAGGGUGAUCUGCCACACUGGAACUGAGACACGGUCCAG
rnacentral:rRNA from 1 species